CAAAUAUUGCUAGUGGAACAUCCGUAAAUUCAAUCAAUUCAUAUAUUAAACAUUUUAGUAGUUAUAAUACCUAACAGUGUUCAUAGAAAAAGUUGAAAAGGUGUUUUUUCAUUUUAUAAUAAUUUAUAAUUAGGUGGCUACCUAAAUACUAAAUAUUGCAAGUAUUUACACAAUAUUUUAAACAAAAAAAUAAAAAUUAGGUAGGUACCUACAGUUUUCUGGUGAUAUGUCAUUUAUAUGUUACUUGUAUAAUAAAACUAAUAGAUUAUAAUAUCUAUGUUAUACAUCUACUAUAUUAUAAUAUAUAAUAUCUAAUAUAUUUAACAUUUUUUUCUACAGAAUCUAUAAUUAUAUGUUGUGUAUUGAGACCUUCAAUAGUUUUUAAUUUUAAACUUAUGUUCAUCAAUUUCAUUAACAAUUUUAUUUAAUAACUUCCUAAUGCCUAUAUCAUUGUUAUUUUAAAAUAAGUAUUUAUAUUAAAUUGUUUUUAAUGUUUAUAUUUCAGUUCAACUAAAAACUACCUUUAUCAAAAAAAAAAGUUCAUAACGAACCACACCUAUCUUAAGUAAGUAGAGAAUU